GCCUAAUACAUGCAAGUCGAGCGAACAGACGAGGAGCUUGCUCCUCUGACGUUAGCGGCGGACGGGUGAGUAACACGUGGAUAACCUACCUAUAAGACUGGGAUAACUUCGGGAAACCGGAGCUAAUACCGGAUAAUAUAUUGAACCGCAUGGUUCAAUAGUGAAAGACGGUUUUGCUGUCACUUAUAGAUGGAUCCGCGCCGCAUUAGCUAGUUGGUAAGGUAACGGCUUACCAAGGCAACGAUGCGUAGCCGACCUGAGAGGGUGAUCGGCCACACUGGAACUGAGACACGGUCCAGACUCCUACGGGAGGCAGCAGUAGGGAAUCUUCCGCAAUGGGCGAAAGCCUGACGGAGCAACGCCGCGUGAAUGAUGAAGGUCUUCGGAUCGUAAAACUCUGUUAUUAGGGAAGAACAAAUGUGUAAGUAACUAUGCACGUCUUGACGGUACCUAAUCAGAAAGCCACGGCUAACUACGUGCCAGCAGCCGCGGUAAUACGUAGGUGGCAAGCGUUAUCCGGAAUUAUUGGGCGUAAAGCGCGCGUAGGCGGUUUUUUAAGUCUGAUGUGAAAGCCCACGGCUCAACCGUGGAGGGUCAUUGGAAACUGGAAAACUUGAGUGCAGAAGAGGAAAGUGGAAUUCCAUGUGUAGCGGUGAAAUGCGCAGAGAUAUGGAGGA
rnacentral:rRNA from 1 species